rnacentral:rRNA from 1 species
GACGAACCGUGCAAACGUUGUUCGGAAUCACUGGGCUUAAAGGGCGCGUAGGCGGGCCAGCCAGUCUGUGGUGAAAGCCUCCAGCUUAACUGGAGAAGUGCCGUGGAUACUGCUGGCCUCGAGGAGGAUAGGGGCAUCUGGAACGGUCGGUGGAGCGGUGAAAUGCGUUGAUAUCAUCAGGAACACCGGUGGCGAAAGCGGCUUACUGGGUCUCUUCUGACGCUGAGGAACGAAAGCUAGGGUAGCAAACGGG